UACGUAGGGUGCAAGCGUUGUCCGGAAUUAUUGGGCGUAAAGAGCUCGUAGGCGGUUUGUCGCGUCUGCUGUGAAAACCCGAGGCUCAACCUCGGGCCUGCAGUGGAUACGGGCAGACUAGAGGUAGGUAGGGGAGAAUGGAAUUCCUGGUGUAGCGGUGGAAUGCGCAGAUAUCAGGAGGAACACCGAUGGCGAAGGCAGAUCUCUGGGCCGUAACUGACGCUGAGGAGCGAAAGCAUGGGGAGCGAACAGG
rnacentral:rRNA from 1 species